UAUCAUUUUACAUUUCCCACCAUUUGUAUCCACUUGUCAUGGAUACACGUUCUCAAAAUAAGCACCAUUAAAAUUCAUCUUUCUCUAUAAUCAUGUACUCUAAAAUCCGGUGAACCUUUAGUCAGCAGCAGCAAUGGCUGAUCUUUCCUGCAGUUUCUUGCCGUUGUUUUUGCCUCCAAAACGAUAUUUUUCUUGUGCACUCCUCUCACACAACUCGAGAUUAUCUAGAAUCAAGAGGCGUCCCCCUCAUCUUCCGCUGCUCUUCAAACCUUCUCCUUUCGCGGCUUCUGCUUCGGACAUUGAUGUCAUUAUUUCAGCUCACAAGCAUUCCGAUGGUAGCUUCUUGUUCCGGUUUGGGGACCCAAGUGAGGUUGUGAAAAAUGUUGACACGGAAGAAGCCAAGACUGUGAAGGAGGAAACAGAAGGAGAUGACACAAAUGGAUCUAGUGUUGUGGAGGUCAAGGAAGGUGGGGAUGAAAGCAAGGCGACAGAGGUCAGUGAUCGCGCUGAUUCAGUAGUUAGUAGUAGCAAUACCCUCAUUGCUGUUGAAGGAGAUAGUGAAUUCUCUGAGAAGUUAGGGGUAUCCCCUAUUGAUACUGAGUUGCCUGUUUUACCUUCCAACCAAGAAAGUGGGGGUAUUUCUACUCCGGAUUUAGAUGUAGAACAGAUUGGUAUAAAUGAAGAGUACAAGGAUUUAAGUCUAGUGGAAGCCUCUAUACCUGAUGAGAGCUUCCAAAUAGAGAAUACUACAGUCGAGGUGUCUGGCGAGGAAUCAAUAAAGGAAACUUCUACUUGUCUAAAGGAGGAGGAUGUGGAUUCCCCAGCGGAUGCAGCUCAGAGUUCAGAGGUGUUGGAUGAUAUUACUACAUUAGGCUUACUGGAAAAGGAAAGUGAUGACAUCAGCUCCACUGAUAUUGAUGAAGACAAGCCUGGAAAGGUGGAGGAAGGUCUAGAUGGAGAUUAUGAGGAUUCUCCUGUGGAUGUCUCUGUAAUUGGUAAAAGGUCUGAACUGGGUAGUGAAAUUUCAGCAGUAGAUUUGUUGGAAAAAGAAACCGUUGGCAGUACUGCGACUUCUGAUGUUGAAAUACAGCCAACAGGAAAUGUGGAAGAAGGUAUAAAUGAAGUGUAUGAGGAUGUUCCCGUUGACAUUACCUAUACUCCUGAUAACACUACAGCAGCAUUAUCAGAAAAUCAAACUACUGACGUUAUAUCAGCUCCUGAUAUAGAGAUAAAAUACACUGGGAAUGGGGAACAAGGUCGAGAUGACAAACCAAGUUCAGUAGAGAAGGAGCCUGGGGUGGAGAAUUGUAUUACUGCCCCAGAACUGUUGGGAAAGGAAACUGUUGAUGUUACCUCUGCACCUGAUGUUGACCUGCUGGAAUACACUGACUAUGAGGAACAAGGUCUAGAUGAGGUUAUUGACAAACCGAGUUUUGUGGAGAAGAGGCCUGAGGUGGAGAGUUCUAUUACUGGAAAGGAAUUUUUGGAAAAGGAAACUGCUGAUGUUACCCCUGCACCUGAUGUUGACCUGAAAUACGCUGGCAAUGAGGAACAGGGUCUAGAUGAGGUUAUUGACAAACCAAGUUCACUGGAGAAGAGGCCUGAGGUGGAGUGUUCUAUUACUUCGCAAGAAUUUUUGGAAAAGGAAACUGCUGAUGUUAUUACCUCUGCACCUGAUGUUGACCUGGAAUACGCUGGUAAAAAUAUGGAACAGUGUCUAGAUGAGGUUAUUGACGAACCAAGUUCACCGGAGAAGAGGCCUGAGGUGGAGAGUUCUAUUAUUGCACAAGAACUUUUGGAAAAGGAAACUACUGAUGUUACCUCUGCGCCUGAUGUUGACCUAGAAUUCAGUAGCAAUUUGGAACAAGGUCUAGACGACCUUCUGGAUGAACCAAGUUCAGUGGAGAAGAUGCCUGAGGUGGAUAACUCUAUCACUGCACAAGAGAUUUUGGAAAAGGACACUGCUGACCUUACCUCUGCGCCUGAUGUUGACCUGGAAUACACUGGCAAUUUGGGGAAAGGUCUAGAUGAGGUUCUUGACGAACCAAGUUCAGUGGAAAAGAGGCCUGAGGUGGAGAAUCGUAUUAGUGCACAAGAACUUUUGGAAAAUGAAACUGCUGAGGUUACCUUUGUGCCUGAUAUUGACAUAGAAUACACUGGAAAAGUGGAACAAGGUCUUGAUGAGGUUAUUGACGAACCGAGAUCAGUGGAGAAGAGUUCUGAGAUGGAGAAUCAUAUUAGUGCACAGCAAUAUUUGGAACCUGAAACUUCUGAUGCUACCUCUGUUCCUGAUACUGACACUGAAUACACUGCCGAUUUGGAACAAGGACUAGAUGAGGUUCUUGAGGAAUCAAAUUCAGCGGAGAGGAGGCCUAAAGUGGAGAAUCGUAUUACUGCACAAGAACCUUUGGAAAAAGAAACUGUGGAUGCAACCACAGUGGCAGAGACCGACCCAGUGAUCUCUAUGCUUGACACUGACAAUGUUCAGGGAGGAAUGGAGAAUGCUGUCACACCAUAUGUGGUUCCUAUUUCUGAACUCGAGAAUGUAGAGAGUGCAACCCAUGAUGAAACCAUUGGAGAUGAAAGAGAAAUUUGUGAUGAUACUUUGGUGUCUCCACCCUCUCAAUCAGAACCAGCUAUGAAUUUGUACCAAGUGACCGAGGCACCAAAUGCACAAGCAGAGGUGCAAAAUUCAGCAGCUGAAGAGAGUAUUGAAGCUCACUUGAAUGAUAUCAUGGCCAUUGAGAUGCAAAAUGUACCAAACAAUGGCAAUGAAAGUGACAUGCAUGGAGCUGAGGAUGAGUCCUCUACUACUGGACCAGCUAUGACUUGGGUCGUAGGCUCUGAUGAGACAGUUUCUGGUUCUGAGAAUGGGAUGCCGAAUGAGACUGUUGGAUAUCUAAGUGAAAAGGACGCCGUCCAGUUACUGACAGUGUCUCCUCAGUUGGAAGCUGACCCACUGCUUGAAGAGGAAACUGGUACUGAAACUGUGGAAGAACUGGAGGAAAAUGAGGAAUCUAAGAACCAAACAACAGUUGGUGACCUUGCAGAGGCAUCAGUACAUGAAGUGACGGCUCCUGAAUCUACUAUAACAAGCCAGGAGAUAUUAGUAUCAGACUUCGUUCUAUCUUCUGGAGCUGCAGUAUUGCCACAUCCUUCUAAGGUCUUGACAGGUGGAGAGGAUGCAUAUUUUAUUGCUGACGAGACAUGGUUUGGUGUAGCUGAUGGAGUUAGUCAGUGGUCGUUGGAAGGGACCAUUCCUGGAGUCUAUGCUCAUGAGCUCAUAAAAAAUUGUGAAAAGCUCAUCACUGAGUGCAGUGGCUAUUCAAUAAACAACCCCAUCGAAUUGCUUAAUCUCAGUGUUGCUCAAACACACUAUCCUGGCUCCUCAACAGUUUUGAUUGCUCAAUUUGACGGUCAGGCACUUCAUGUUGCCAAUGUUGGGGACACGGGAUUCAUCAUUCUACGCCAUGGCGCUGUUUAUAAGAGGUCUUCCCCAAUGCACCAUGUGUUUUCAUUACCAGUCCAAAUUGAAAGAGGCGACGACCCCUCUUCUCUUGCACAGUUGUACAAAGUUGAUGUAGAGGAGGAGGAUAUAAUUGUGACUGCUACCGAUGGGCUUCUCGACAACUUGUAUGAUCAAGAAAUAUUGUUGAUUGCCACUAAGUCACUUGCUGAUGGUAAAACUCCCAAGGAAAUAGCAGAGUUGCUGGCGAAGAAGGCACAAGAGGUAAGUAGCUCUGCAUAUGCAAGAAGUCCGUUUGCCGACGAAGCUCAGGCAGCCGGAUUCCCAGGAUACUCCGGUGGCAAGCUAGACGACGUGGUUGUUAUUGUGUCUGUUGUCCAAAGGCGAUAAUUGCUCUAUUGCUCUUCCCUAUGCUUUGUUCAAUAUGGUUAGCAUUUCACUGUUUUCAACUGCCUGUUGAAUGCUCACUAGUUCCCUACAAUUUUUUUUUGCAUAUAGUAUUUUACAAAUUUCUCAAGUUAUAAAUCGACAUGUUCUUUGUUUGCAACAAUGGUGCGAAGAAAACUCAUAAUGCCUUUCCAUGUGAUCAAAUCAUCAAAGGGCACAAAACCAUCUUUCCCAUGAAUAUAUUCCUCUCUUUCUCUCCUUUAAAGGGAGAUGGCUUUUCUUGUAGUGAGCAGACCUGUGGAGAAAUUGCGUGGCUCUCUCUCUUUCUCUCUUAAAGCUUAAAGGCAUGACUCUCAAAGAUAGGGUGACUUUUCUAAGAAAGAAUACUGUUCUGAUCAAGACGGUUAAAACACUACUCCCAUGUUACAUUGACUAACUGGAUGAAUGUUAUAUAAAAAAUAAAAAAUUUAGUUUGAUCGUGAUUUUAUAAACGACUAAGCCCAAUAUUUAUGAAUGGAAAACGACUAGUUUUGUUGACAAUAACACCUCACCCCACCACCAAGCCAUCCAAUUCCCCCUUUUACCCCUUUCCCCAUAUAGCUCCAAUUUUCACACAAGUCAUCUCCACAAACACACUCUCUCUCUCUCUUCAUUUUCUACAAUGGCAGCUUCCUUGCUGCUGUGCAUGUUGUUGCUAUCUUUCUCCUCGGCGCAUUCGGCUCCACCCCCGGCGCCGGACUGCUCCAGCCUGGUGGCAAACAUGGUGGACUGCCUGCCGUUCGUGACGGCUGGCAGCACGGCACAGACGCCAGAGGGCACGUGCUGCUCCGGCCUGGAAACGGUUGUGGAGAGCAAUCCCCAAUGCCUCUGCGACGCCUUCAAGAACAGCGCCCAGCUCGACGUCACCCUCAACGUCUCCAAAGCCCUCACCCUCCCCGCCGCCUGCCUUCUCUCCACUCCUCCUUCCCUUUCCACCUGCGCAUCUCUUUCUCCACUAGCACCAUCUCCGAGCUCGGCUGCGGGGGCUCCAACAACGAGCAUCGGAGGUGACGAAGGCGCUCCGGCGCCCUCACUCGGUAGCUCAGGUUCGUCAGUGCUGACCACUACGUUGGACUUGCUUGUAUUUAUGAGUCUAAUAGUAUCAUUUGGUUUAUUUUGAGAGGAUUGUUGUUUAUGGUUGUUGUGAAUUGAUAUGGAGGAGGAUUCAUCUCGUGAUGGUAUUUAUAGUAUAAUUUCUAAAUA